UACGUAGGGUGCAAGCGUUGUUCGGAUUUACUGGGCGUAAAGCGCGCGCAGGUGGGUGUACAAGUCGGAAGUGAAAUCCCAGGGCUCAACCCUGGGGCUGCUCCCGAAACUGUACGCCUAGGGACUGGUAGAGGCUGGUAGAAUUCCGAGUGUAGAGGUGAAAUUCGUAGAUAUUCGGAGGAACACCAGUGGCGAAGGCGGCUCACUGGUCCAUUACUGACGCUGAGGUGCGAAAGCGUGGGGAGCAAACAGG
rnacentral:rRNA from 1 species